rnacentral:rRNA from 1 species
GUGUCAGCCGCCGCGGUAAUACGUAGGUGGCAAGCGUUGUCCGGAAUUAUUGGGCGUAAAGGGCGUGUAGGCGGCUCGGUAAGUGGGGAGUGAAACUCCGCAGCUCAACUGCGGCGCUGCUUCCCAUACUGCUGGGCUUGAGGGCGGGAGAGGGCAGUGGAAUUCCCGGUGUAGCAGUGAAAUGCGUAGAGAUCGGGAGGAACCCCAGUGGCGAAGGCGACUGCCUGGACCGAACCUGACGCUGAGGCGCGAAAGCUAGGGGAGCAAACAGGAUUAGAUACCCUGGUAGUCCUAGCCGUAAACGAUGGGUACUAGGUGUCGGGGGUAUCGACCCCUCCGGUGCCGGAGCAAACGCAAUAAGUACCCCGCCUGGGGAGUACGGCCGCAAGGUUGAA